UUGGAUGCCAACCACCGUUAUACCUCAUCGAAGAAGAAGGUCAGCAGUGUCAAUCUCUUUCUAGUUAAGUUAGCAGAAUGACAUCUCCUUCAUUUGAAGAAGUUGAACUGAACAAGAAACACGAAGAAAUAACACCAGCCCCCUCCACAAAGUGAUCGAUAGUAUAUCUUGGCUCGCACUGUGAUGAUUGGGAUUCUGAGCUCUCAGGUUCAUACAGGGAGUUAUGGUCUUCACUGAUCUCACUCUCCAUCAGCUCCAUCUGUGGCGUAUUGGGCCAGGACUCUGUUAUAUACUGAUGGUCGUGAGCGCUAUCUAGCUGGGCCCCGAGCACUUUAGUGAUGGUCCCGGUGGACCUCUUCUCCACUGCAGCACAUGAAUACUGGCAGCCAGGGGGAAGAGGGCUGUGCUCCUUCAGCAGAUGGAAAGUAGAUAUGAGCAACAGAAGAGCAAGAGGAGGCAGCAGGUGAAGCUGUCACAAGCUGCACAUGAGAGAAACUCCCAGCUCCUCCAGGACUUGCAGAAAAUGGAGAAUCGUCUCAGAACAAGAGAACUCCCACACCCUGACAUCCUCAGUUUGGAGACUCGUUACUGGGCAUCAGUUGAGGAGAAGAUCCCAGAAUGGGAGCGCUUCCUCCUGGGUAAGGGCCCACAUCCUAGCAGUGACCCUAGCAGAACACCUAAACAACAAAAACUGAAAACUACACCCAGAGACCAUGCACCCACACAAGAUGGGGCUCUGCCUCCUCGUCCUAUACUGAAACAUGUCAAAUGACCUGAAGUGGACAAUCUGUUUUGGCUUUUGACUUAAUCUUAUGUGAUCAACAUGGAGAAACUAAAAUCAGUUGACAGUUACACUGUAGAUUGAGGUUAUUGUGAGGUAAAUGCUCUUUUUUUAUAGGCCAUAUUUAGUCUCAUAUGGGCUGUUUUCCUAUCAGAAUAACAGUAUUCUUAGCACCAACACUAUUGAGUAGGCAUGUUGAUUUCCAUUGUAUUUACACUGCAGCUCCUUUUUGUGGUCAGCCAUUUUGAUGUUUUUUUUUUUUUUUUUUUAAUUUUACCUUUAUUUAACCAGGCAAGUCAGUUAAGAACAAAUUCUUAUUUUCAAUGACGGCCUAGGAACAGUGGGUUAACUGCCUGUUCAGGGGCAGAACGACAGAUUUGUACCUUGUCAGCUCGGGGAUUUGAACUUGCAACCUUUCGGUUACUAGUCCAACGCUCUAACCACUAGGCUACCCUGCCGCCCCACUAGGCUACCCUGUCUCAGGGUGAAGCUCCGAUUUAGCCUAUUACCCUGCAGUCUGCAGAAUUGCUGCUCUUGAUUGCAAUGUUUACAAGCAAUGCUCACACUUUCAGUGUGAUGGUAUUGCCUUUAACACUUUAUGGUAAUCCCAUCAGAAUUCUAUUUGAAACAAAGAAUAUGGUGUCUUUGAAUUCAUGGUUUAUAUCUGCCCACUAGGGGGAGGUAGCACCAUAGAUUUGGAUAACAAAGGCAAAUUCCUUCAGUUAGACUCAGGUCAUUCACUUCGUCUGUCACUCAGCAAUGAUUUAAUCAAAUGUGCUCUUAUUUAUUUGCAUGUAUUGUCUGUAUACUAGCUAUGUUCUUAUGUGUACAUUAAAGCACUUUUUUUGUUCAUAUACUGUGCAAUGUCUAUUAGUCGUAACAAGCAAUGUGCAUAUGUAACCAAUAAAGUUUUUUAUUAUUCACA